UCGUGUCGUGAGAUGUUGGGUUAGGUCCCGCAACGAGCGCAACCCUCACCUCUUGUUGCCAUCAGGUCAUGCUGGGCACUCUAGAGGAACUGCCCCGGUCAACGGGGAGGAAGGCGGGGAUGACGUCAAGUCAUCAUGCCCCUUACGUCCUGGGCUACACACGUGCUACAAUGGCCGGUACAAAGGGAUGCCACACCGCGAGGUAGAGCUAAACCCAAAAAGCCGGUCUAAGUUCAGAUUGGAGUCUGCAACUCGACUCCAUGAAGGAGGAAUCGCUAGUAAUCGC
rnacentral:rRNA from 1 species